rnacentral:siRNA from 1 species
UGAGCAGAUAGGCUUCCUGGUGAU